CAACGGCUGAUAUCGGUGCCACGUAUGAAAUCCAGAUCCCUUCCUAGACGGUCGUGCAGAUCAUCCUAACAUUUGCUUCUCAUUUAAGUUUUUUUACCAACCCUUUCUUUCUUCAUCUCCCCACUCCAGAUCAUUCAACUUUAAACAACCCGCAGAUCUCCACGCCUUGAGAAACAGAAGAGGAACUGAAGAUGCACAGCCACGGUCGUCCUCCACCGCCACCACCGCCUUAUCACCACCAUCAUCAUGGGGGUCCACAUGACAAUGUAUGUAUGUCACUUUGUUGUUGGCCUUGCAUGACGGUGACCUCAAUACUGGGGGGUUGCAUUUCUUGUCUUUGUUACCCUGUUCUUCGUUGUUUUGGUUUGGAUCGUCAUUAUCCUCCGCCCCCUCCACAUUAUCACCGUUACUGAUAAUCGUAGUAUCAUGACGUUGGUUGUUUAUUUGUGUUUAGGCUUUGGGAUGUUGUCGUCUUAUUGAUUGUGGCUUGGAUGUUUGUUUGGCCACAUUUUUAGGCGGUACUCGUAUAAUAUGUAAUCGAAUAUUUCAAUUCUAAUGGUAAUGUUUUCAAACCUAUUGUUAUCAGGUAUCGAA